GCCAUCCUUUAAAGAGUGCGUAAUAGCUCACUAGUCGAGUGGCACUGCGCCGAAGAUGUACCGGGGCUAAAGCAUAAUACCGAAACUGCGGAUUACUUUGUAAUGGUAGGGGAGCGUUCUAAGUGCGCUGAAGGUUGAUCGUAAGGACAGCUGGAGCGCUUAGAAGUGAGAAUGCCGGUAUGAGUAGCGCAAGACGUGUGAGAAUCACGUCCACCGUUUGCCCAAGGUUUCCUGGGUCAAGUUCGUCUUCCCAGGGUUAGUCGGGUCCUAAGGCGAGGCCGAAAGGCGUAGUCGAUGGACAACAGGUUGAUAUUCCUGUACCACCUAUAUGACUGAUGGAGUGACGAAGGAGGCUAACAAGUGCCUGUUAUUGGAUUCAGGUCUAAGCACAAAGGCUUAUAUGUAGGGAAAUCCGCAUAUUGGUAGGCUGAAGUGUGAUGGCGAAAAAAGUAGCAAUACAAUUGAAGACUUGUGACGCCAAACUUCCAAGAAAAGCUUCUAGGGUUAAUCGUAUAGGUGCCCGUACCGAGAACCGCCACAGGUGGGCAAGGAGAGUAUCCUAAGGUGAGCGAGAGAACUAUGGUUAAGGAACUCGGCAAAAUAACCCCGUAACUUAGGGAUAAGGGGUGGUCUAGCGAUAGACCCGCAGUAAAGACGUCCAGGCAACUGUUUACCAAAAACACAGGUCUCUGCAAAGCCGUAAGGCGAAGUAUAGGGGCUGACACCUGCCCAGUGCUGGAAGGUUAAUAGGAGAGGUUAGUAUUUGACUUUGUCAACAUGAUACGAAGCUUUGAAUUGAAGCCCCAGUGAACGGCGGCCGUAACUAUAACGGUCCUAAGGUAGCGAAAUUCCUUGUCAGGUAAGUUCUGACCCGCACGAAAGGUGUAAUGAUCUGGAUACUGUCUCAACCAUAGGCUCGGUGAAAUUUUAAUACCUGUGAAAAUGCAGGUUACCCGCGACAGGACGGAAAGACCCCAUGGAGCUUUACUGUAGCUUGAUAUUGAAAUUUGAUAUUCUUUGUAGAGGAUAGGUGGUAGACUUUGAUACUAGGACGCCAGUUCUAGUGGAGUCGCCCUUGGAAUACCACCCUUGGAAUAUUAGAUUUCUAACCUAGAACCGUGAUCCGGUUCGGGGACAGUGUCUGGUGGGCAGUUUGACUGGGGCGGUCGCCUCCCAAAUAGUAACGGAGGCGCCCAAAGGUUACCUCAGAAUGGUUGGAAAUCAUUCGCAGAGUGUAAAGGUAUAUAGGUAGCUUAACUGCGAGACUUACAAGUCAAGCAGAUACGAAAGUAGGGCUUAGUGAUCAGGCGAUUCAGUAUGGAAUGGU
rnacentral:rRNA from 1 species